rnacentral:rRNA from 1 species
GAUGAACGCUGGCGGCGUGCCUAAUACAUGCAAGUCGAGCGAACGGACGAGAAGCUUGCUUCUCUGAUGUUAGCGGCGGACGGGUGAGUAACACGUGGAUAACCUACCUAUAAGACUGGGAUAACUUCGGGAAACCGGAGCUAAUACCGGAUAAUAUUUUGAACCGCAUGGUUCAAAAGUGAAAGACGGUCUUGCUGUCACUUAUAGAUGGAUCCGCGCCGCAUUAGCUAGUUGGUAAGGUAACGGCUUACCAAGGCAACGAUGCGUAGCCGACCUGAGAGGGUGAUCGGCCACACUGGAACUGAGACACGGUCCAGACUCCUACGGGAGGCAGCAGUAGGGAAUCUUCCGCAAUGGGCGAAAGCCUGACGGAGCAACGCCGCGUGAGUGAUGAAGGUCUUCGGAUCGUAAAACUCUGUUAUUAGGGAAGAACAUAUGUGUAAGUAACUAUGCACAUCUUGACGGUACCUAAUCAGAAAGCCACGGCUAACUACGUG